rnacentral:rRNA from 1 species
UACGUAGGGUCCGAGCGUUGUCCGGAAUUACUGGGCGUAAAGAGCUCGUAGGCGGUUUGUUACGUCGGAUGUGAAAACCCGAGGCUUAACCUCGGGCCUGCAUUCGAUACUGGCAGACUCGAGUGUGGUAGGGGAGACUGGAACUCCUGGUGUAGCGGUGAAAUGCGCAGAUAUCAGGAAGAACACCGGUGGCGAAGGCGGGUCUCUGGGCCACUACUGACGCUGAGGAGCGAAAGCGUGGGGAGCGAACAGG